GACGAACGCUGGCGGCGUGCUUAACACAUGCAAGUCGAACGGAAAGGCCCUGCUUUUGUGGGGUGCUCGAGUGGCGAACGGGUGAGUAACACGUGAGUAACCUGCCCUUGACUUUGGGAUAACUUCAGGAAACUGGGGCUAAUACCGGAUAGGAGCUCCUGCUGCAUGGUGGGGGUUGGAAAGUUUCGGCGGUUGGGGAUGGACUCGCGGCUUAUCAGCUUGUUGGUGGGGUAGUGGCUUACCAAGGCUUUGACGGGUAGCCGGCCCGAGAGGGUGACCGGCCACAUUGGGACUGAGAUACGGCCCAGACUCCUACGGGAGGCAGCAGUGGGGAAUAUUGCACAAUGGGCGGAAGCCUGAUGCAGCAACGCCGCGUGCGGGAUGACGGCCUUCGGGUUGUAAACCGCUUUCGCCUGUGACGAAGCGUGAGUGACGGUAAUGGGUAAAGAAGCACCGGCUAACUACGUGCCAGCAGCCGCGGUGAUACGUAGGGUGCGAGCGUUGUCCGGAUUUAUUGGGCGUAAAGGGCUCGUAGGUGGUUGAUCGCGUCGGAAGUGUAAUCUUGGGGCUUAACCCUGAGCGUGCUUUCGAUACGGGUUGACUUGAGGAAGGUAGGGGAGAAUGAAUUCCUGGUGGAGCGGUGGAAUGCGCAGAUAUCAGGAGGAACACCAGUGGCGAAGGCGGUUCUCUGGGCCUUUCCUGACGCUGAGGAGCGAAAGCGUGGGGAGCGAACAGGCUUAGAUACCCUGGUAGUCCACGCUGUAAA
rnacentral:rRNA from 1 species